rnacentral:rRNA from 1 species
AGUCGGACGAGAGGUUCCUUCGGGAACUGGAGAGUGGCGCACGGGUGAGUAACGCGUGGGGACCUACCUCUUAGUGGGGGAUAACGGUUGGAAACGACCGCUAAUACCGCAUACGCCCUUCGGGGGAAAGAUUUAUCGCUAAGAGAUGGACCCGCGUUGGAUUAGAUAGUUGGUGAGGUAACGGCUCACCAAGUCGGCGAUCCAUAGCUGGUUUGAGAGGAUGAUCAGCCACACUGGGACUGAGACACGGCCCAGACUCCUACGGGAGGCAGCAGUGGGGAAUAUUGGACAAUGGGGGCAACCCUGAUCCAGCCAUGCCGCGUGAGUGAAGAAGGCCUUCGGGUUGUAAAGCUCUUUCAGAUGCGAAGAUGAUGACGGUAACAUCAGAAGAAGCCCCGGCUAAUUUCGUGCCAGCAGCCGCGGUAAUACAAAAGGGGCUAGCGUUGUUCGGAUUUACUGGGCGUAAAGGGCACGCAGGCGGUCUUGCCAGUCAGGGGUGAAAGCCCGGGGCUCAACCCCGGAACUGCCUCUGAUACUGCAAGACUAGAGACUAGGAGAGGGUGGUGGAAUUCCCCGGGUAGAGGUGAAUUUCUUAAAUUUUGGGAGGAACACCCGAGGCGAAGGCGGGCCCCUGGACUAAAUCUGACCCUCAGGUGGCAAAAGCGUGGGGGAGCAAACGGGAUUUAAUACCCUGG